AGCAGCAUCACUUGCUGGGACAGGGAGGGGAUUGUCCCGCUCUGCUCUGACCUGGAGUGUCCUCACCUGGAAUGUUGGGGUGGUUUAGGGCACCACAAUGUAGAAAAGAUAUUGAGCCAUUAGAGA